AGUAAAGUUUGAUUCUUUCUUUAUUAUUUUCUAUAAUUUUGUUUUAGCAUGUAAGGAUUUUCUUGUUUAUAUAUUUUCUUUAAUAGUUAAUUUAUUUUUAUUCGCAGCAUUUAGUAUUAUAUAUUAAUUUAUGUUAGAUUUAGUAAAAAUUUAUUGUUCUGGUAAAUUUUGUGCCAGCAUUCGCGGUUAUACAAUAAGGGCUAGGGAAUAUUUUUGGUUUGUAUUAUUAAGUUUUUUUGGGUUUGAAUCUUUAAUUUUAUGGUGAAAUUUUAAUUUUGAUUUUUGAUUUAUUGUAUGAAAACAUACUAGUGUUAUUAAUAAAAACUAGGAUUAGAUACCCUAUUAUUUUGAUUUUAAAUUUAUAACCUGAUUAUUAUUAGUUAUUUUCUUGAAAGUUGAAGAAUUUGGCGGUAAUUUAGUCUUUCCAGAGGAACCUGUCCUGUAAUUGAUAUUCCACGUUAAAUUUUACUUUAAUUAUGCUUGUAUAUCUCUGUUAUUGAAUAUCUUUUUAGGGUUAUUAUAUUCAUUUAUUUUUAAUAAAGUUUAUAUCAGGUCAAGGUGCAGCUAUAUUAAAGUAGAGAUGGGUUACAUUUAAUUUUAUUAUUGGAUUGUAUUAUGUAAAUAUAUAUAAAAUUGGAUUUGGAAGUAAAUUUUACUAAAAAGUAAUUUUGAUUAUGGCUCUUUAUUAUGUACAUAUCGCCCGUCGCUCUCGUUAUUUUUUAAGAUGAGAUAAGUCGUAACAAAGUAGGCUCACCGGAAGGUAAGCCUUGUAUUAAUUAUUUUUAU
rnacentral:ncRNA from 1 species